GACCCGCUGAAUUUAAGCAUAUUAGUCAGCGGAGGAAAAGAAACUAACCAGGAUUCCCUCAGUAACGGCGAGUGAACAGGGAAGAGCCCAGCGCCGAAUCCCCGCCCCGCGGUGGGGCGCGGGACAUGUGGCGUACGGAAGACCCACUCCCCGGCGCCGCUCGUGGGGGGCCCAAGUCCUUCUGAUCGAGGCCCAGCCCGUGGACGGUGUGAGGCCGGUAGCGGCCCCCGGCGCGCCGGGCCCGGGUCUUCCCGGAGUCGGGUUGCUUGGGAAUGCAGCCCAAAGCGGGUGGUAAACUCCAUCUAAGGCUAAAUACCGGCACGAGACCGAUAGUCAACAAGUACCGUAAGGGAAAGUUGAAAAGAACUUUGAAGAGA
rnacentral:rRNA from 1 species